rnacentral:rRNA from 1 species
GUGGGGAAUCUUGCGCAAUGGGCGAAAGCCUGACGCAGCCAUGCCGCGUGAAUGAUGAAGGUCUUAGGAUUGUAAAAUUCUUUCACCGGGGACGAUAAUGACGGUACCCGGAGAAGAAGCUCCGGCUAACUUCGUGCCAGCAGCCGCGGUAAUACGAAGGGGGCUAGCGUUGCUCGGAAUUACUGGGCGUAAAGGGCGCGUAGGCGGACAUUUAAGUCAGGGGUGAAAUCCCGGGGCUCAACCUCGGAACUGCCUUUGAUACUGGGUGUCUUGAGUAUGAGAGAGGUGUGUGGAACUCCGAGUGUAGAGGUGAAAUUCGUAGAUAUUCGGAAGAACACCAGUGGCGAAGGCGACACACUGGCUCAUUACUGACGCUGAGGCGCGAAAGCGUGGGGAGCAAACAGGAUUAGAUACCCUAGUAGUCC